ACACAUGCAAGUCGAACGAGGUAAACAAGUUGAAGUUUUCGGAUGGAUUCUUAUUUACCGAGUGGCGGACGGGUGAGUAACGCGUGGGUAACCUGCCUCAUACAGGGGGAUAACGGUUAGAAAUGACUGCUAAUACCGCAUAAGCGCACAGUACCGCAUGGUACGGUGUGAAAAACUCCGGUGGUAUGAGAUGGACCCGCGUCUGAUUAGCUAGUUGGUGGGGUAACGGCCCACCAAGGCGACGAUCAGUAGCCGACCUGAGAGGGUGACCGGCCACAUUGGGACUGAGACACGGCCCAGACUCCUACGGGAGGCAGCAGUGGGGGAUAUUGCACAAUGGAGGAAACUCUGAUGCAGCGACGCCGCGUGAGUGAAGAAGUAUUUCGGUAUGUAAAGCUCUAUCAGCAGGGAAGAAAAUGACGGUACCUGACUAAGAAGCCCCGGCUAACUACGUGCCAGCAGCCGCGGUAAUACGUAGGGGGCAAGCGUUAUCCGGAUUUACUGGGUGUAAAGGGAGCGUAGACGGCGACGCAAGUCUGAAGUGAAAUACCCGGGCUCAACCUGGGAACUGCUUUGGAAACUGUGUUGCUAGAGUGCUGGAGAGGUAAGCG
rnacentral:rRNA from 1 species